rnacentral:rRNA from 1 species
CAGAGUUUGAUCAUGGGUCAGGAUGAACGCUAGCGGCAGGCUUAACACAUGCAAGUCAAGGGGUAGUUACUUUCGGGUAAUGAGACCGGCGCACGGGUGCGUAACGCGUAUGCAAUCUACCUUUUACAGAGGGAUAGCCCAGAGAAAUUUGGAUUAAUACCUCAUAGUAUAACGACUCCGCAUGGAGAUGUUAUUAAAGUUCCAACGGUAAAAGAUGAGCAUGCGUCCCAUUAGUUAGUUGGUAAGGUAACGGCUUACCAAGACGAUGAUGGGUAGGGGUCCUGAGAGGGAGAUCCCCCACACUGGUACUGAGACACGGACCAGACUCCUACGGGAGGCAGCAGUGAGGAAUAUUGGACAAUGGGCGCAAGCCUGAUCCAGCCAUGCCGCGUGCAGGAAGAAGCAUCUAUGGUGUGUAAACUGCUUUUAUGCAGGAAGAAACACUCCCUCGUGAGGGAGCUUGACGGUACUGUAACAAUAAGGACCGGCUAACUC